UACGGAGGGGGCUAGCGUUGUUCGGAAUUACUGGGCGUAAAGCGCGCGUAGGCGGCUUUGUAAGUUAGAGGUGAAAGCCCGGAGCUCAACUCCGGAAUUGCCUUUAAGACUGCAUCGCUAGAAUCAUGGAGAGGUUAGUGGAAUUCCGAAUGUAGAGGUGAAAUUCGUAGAUAUUCGGAAGAACACCAGUGGCGAAGGCGACUUACUGGACGAUUGUUGACGCUGAGGUGCGAAAGCGUGGGGAGCAAACAGG
rnacentral:rRNA from 1 species